rnacentral:rRNA from 1 species
AUCCUGGCUCAGGAUGAACGCUAGCUACAGGCUUAACACAUGCAAGUCGAGGGGCAGCAUUUUUCUAGCAAUAGAAGAGAUGGCGACCGGCGCACGGGUGAGUAACACGUAUCCAACCUACCGAUAACUCUGGAAUAGCCUUUCGAAAGAAAGAUUAAUACCGGAUAGUAUACGAAUAUCGCAUGAUAUUUUUAUAAGAAUUUCGGUUAUCGAUGGGGAUGCGUUCCAUUAGUUUGUUGGCCGGGG